rnacentral:rRNA from 1 species
UGAGGAAUAUUGGUCAAUGGGCGAGAGCCUGAACCAGCCAAGUAGCGUGCAGGAUGACGGCCCUAUGGGUUGUAAACUGCUUUUAUGUGGGGAUAAAGUGCGUGACGUGUCAUGCAUUGCAGGUACCACAUGAAUAAGGACCGGCUAAUUCCGUGCCAGCAGCCGCGAUAAUACGGAAGGUCCGGGCGUUAUCCGGAUUUAUUGGGUUUAAAGGGAGCGUAGGCUGUCUAUUAAGCGUGUUGUGAAAUUUACCGGCUCAACCGGUGGCUUGCAGCGCGAACUGGUCGACUUGAGUAUGCAGGAAGUAGGCGGAAUUCAUGGUGUAGCGGUGAAAUGCUUAGAUAUCAUGACGAACUCCGAUUGCGCAGGCAGCUUACUGUAGCAUAACUGACGCUGAUGCUCGAAAGUGCGGGUAUCAAACAGG